rnacentral:rRNA from 1 species
GAUGAACGCUGGCGGCGUGCCUAAUACAUGCAAGUCGAGCGAACAGAUGAGGAGCUUGCUCCUCUGACGUUAGCGGCGGACGGGUGAGUAACACGUGGAUAACCUACCUAUAAGACUGGGAUAACUUCGGGAAACCGGAGCUAAUACCGGAUAAUAUAUUGAACCGCAUGGUUCAAUAGUGAAAGACGGUUUUGCUGUCACUUAUAGAUGGAUCCGCGCCGCAUUAGCUAGUUGGUAAGGUAACGGCUUACCAAGGCAACGAUGCGUAGCCGACCUGAGAGGGUGAUCGGCCACACUGGAACUGAGACACGGUCCAGACUCCUACGGGAGGCAGCAGUAGGGAAUCUUCCGCAAUGGGCGAAAGCCUGACGGAGCAACGCCGCGUGAGUGAUGAAGGUCUUCGGAUCGUAAAACUCUGUUAUUAGGGAAGAACAAAUGUGUAAGUAACUAUGCACGUCUUGACGGUACCCAAGCAGAAAGCCACGGCUAACUACGU